ACUAAAAAUCAAGAUAUGGCACGAUUAAUCCAGAAAAUGAAAGAUGUUUUAGUUUAAUGUUUGAGAAAUUUCCGGAUUGUUUUGUCAAUAAACCGGAUUGGUGGAAGUUGCAGCAUUUAUUAUAUCAAAAAACUUUGUUUAAAAAAAACAGAGCAAUUCAUUAGACAAAAGGACGUAAAAUUUGCGGUAGGAAUGAUCGUAACACAUCGUGAUGAUUGCAAUAAUUACGACGACGUCAUAAUCGGAUACGAUCGUCAUACAGACAGACGUUAUAAAAUUUUGACACACAAUCUAAAUAACGACAAAUGGACUACAAUAAAUUAUACAAUAGAAAUAGACUUCUUGCCGUUGAAUCAUUGUCACAAUUAUCAAUUUAGAGAGCAACAAACAAAU